GAUGAACGCUGGCGGCGUGCCUAAUACAUGCAAGUCGAGCGAACAGACGAGGAGCUUGCUCCUCUGACGUUAGCGGCGGACGGGUGAGUAACACGUGGAUAACCUACCUAUAAGACUGGGAUAACUUCGGGAAACCGGAGCUAAUACCGGAGAAUAUAUUGAACCGCAUGGUUCAAUAGUGAAAUACGGUUUUGCGGUCACGUAUAGAUGGAUCCGCGCCGCAUUAGCUAGUUGGUAAGGUAACGGCUUACCAAGGCAACGAUGCGUAGCCGACCUGAGAGGGUGAUCGGCCACACUGGAACUGAGCCACGGUCCAGACUCCUACGGGAGGCAGCAGUAGGGAAUCUUCCGCAAUGGGCGAAAGCCUGACGGAGCAACGCCGCGUGAGUGAUGAAGGUCUUCGGAUCGUAAAACUCUGUUAUUAGGGAAGAACAAAUGUGUAAGUAACUAUGCACGUCUUGACGGUACCUAAUCAGAAAGCCACGGCUAACUACGUG
rnacentral:rRNA from 1 species